AGUGAACGCUGGCGGUAGGCCUAACACAUGCAAGUCGAACGGCAGCACAGUAAGAGCUUGCUCUUACGGGUGGCGAGUGGCGGACGGGUGAGGAAUACAUCGGAAUCUACUUUUUCGUGGGGGAUAACGUAGGGAAACUUACGCUAAUACCGCAUACGACCUACGGGUGAAAGCAGGGGAUCUUCGGACCUUGCGCGAUUGAAUGAGCCGAUGUCGGAUUAGCUAGUUGGCGGGGUAAAGGCCCACCAAGGCGACGAUCCGUAGCUGGUCUGAGAGGAUGAUCAGCCACACUGGAACGUAGACACGGUCCAGACUCCUACGGGAGGCAGCAGUGGGGAAUAUUGGACAAUGGGCGCAAGCCUGAUCCAGCCAUACCGCGUGGGUGAAGAAGGCCUUCGGGUUGUAAAGCCCUUUUGUUGGGAAAGAAAAGCAGCAGGUUAAUACCCCGCUGUUCUGACGGUACCCAAAGAAUAAGCACCGGCUAACUUAGUG
rnacentral:rRNA from 1 species